UCUUCCUAGCCUGCCCUAGUGACUAUGCAAUGUGGCACAUCACAUCCUAAUUUUUUUUUGUCAAUAUGCAUUUGUUUUUUGUUUUAAAACCUACAGUUUUAUCUGUUACAUUUUUUUUGUAGGGGUAUGUUAUUAUUGCAUUAUGUUUGUGUCAAGUUACAAAGUUACAUUUGUUUCAUGGUACCGCUGGAAUAAAAAAAAAUUCAGCCUGAUACAACAUAAUAACUCCAGAUAUUACACUGUAAAAGGUAACACGACUACUAACUUAAAUCAUUUUAGUAUUCUUUACUUGUGUAAUGCUAUCCCAGUGAUUUAGCUCAAAUUAUUUAAGUAAUGUAUUCAUUUUGUAUGCAAAAGCUCAAAAACUCAAUGAACAUGAGUAAACCGCACUCACAGCGCUCCAGUGCUAAAUAGCUCUUAACUGCGCAUGCGCAUACGAGAGAGGCAGGAGAAUCAGAUUGAAGAGAGUUGGAGAAAGUUUAACGCUAUACAUGUGCGAAGCAGAACUCUGUCUCAUAGUUAAAGAUAAAGAGCACAGGAUGCAUCCGCAUUGGAAAACAACAGACAGUUGCUUGAAGAUGAAAUGAAGAAAAGGACACCAAAUGCAGCACUUGUGAAUCAGCUGAUGAACCAGACCUUCUCACUGAGACGCAAAGAAAUCGUCGAAGAGCAGCCUCCUGUGAAACGCAUGUUGGAACGCUGGCCAGCGCUUUUCAGAAAACAGCAGGUUUUUGCAGAGUUCACUAGGGUGGCAAGUAAAGAUCUUGAACUUUUUUGAGUCCUUGGACCGUCACAUCCCUCGAUUUCUCAAGAUCUUUAAGUCCAAGAAGGGUGUUAUUGGCAGGACACUUGCAGAGCUCCUUACUCAAGCUGAAAUGAAGACCCAUGAUGUUGUGGCAAGGCGGACAGCUGUCCUACGCUGUCUUGCAGUUUUUCUUGGGGAUGAUGGGAGUGAUUUUUUUCAAAGUUUGUUUUGAUUCAGAUUCCAUCACGGAUUUCACCGAGAUUCCUGUUGGGGUAUGAACCGUCAUACCCGAAGACAGCCCACAACCAAGUCAAAAUGUCCUGCACCUUGAGCCAUCCAGCAUUGCUAUCAUACUGGAAGGUAACAUCGUAAUGGAUGACCUUCAAAAUCAUACUGAAGCUAUUUGCUUGACUUUUGGACUUAUCUACAACCUUCAUUUGGACUAUCCCAGAAGAUUGAAGAACACUUUUGACUUCAUUCAGAGGGUCAUGCUGGAUCUGGGUGUAGGGAACCUUAGGCCAAAACUCCAGAGCUUAAAAAAUGCCCUUUUGCAGUAGGUUGUUCUGAGUUGCUUGAACACACUGAAUUGUUGUACUUUCACGUAAGCCAGAGUUAUGUGUCACAAUUAAUGUCGGGUCAAGAGUGAAUGUUUUGUUUGCCAAUAUUGUAUGUAUGUGCUUCCACAAUUUUGAAAAAUGCCCUUUUGCAGGUUGUUUUGAGUUGCUUGAACACACUGAAUUGUUGUACUUUCACGUAUAUAUUAAGCCAGAAUGGCCAGUUAUGUGUCACAAUUAAUGUCGCCUUAAGAGUGAAUGUUUUGUUUGCCAAAAUUGUAUAUAUAUGUGCUUCCACAAUUUUGAAAAAUGCCCUUUUGCAGGUUGUUUUGAGUUGCUUGAACACACUGAAUUUUUUUGUACUUCCACGUAAUAUACAUUGAGCCAGAAUGGCCAGUUACAGUACAUGUCACAAUUAAUGUCGCCUUAAGAGUGAAUGUUUUGUUUUGCCAAAAUUGUAUGUGCUUCCACAAAUUGUUAUACUAUGAGAAAAUAAAAAGUAAUACGGCUGACUGAUAA